ACGAACGCUGGCGGCGUGCUUAACACAUGCAAGUCGAACGAGGUGCUUGCACCUAGUGGCGAACGGGUGAGUAACACGUGAGCAACCUGCCCUUGGCUCUGGGAUAGCCUCCGGAAACGGGGAUUAAUACCGGACAUGACCUUCUCCUGCAUGGGGGAGGGUGGAAAGUUUUUCGGCCAGGGAUGGGCUCGCGGCCUAUCAGCUUGUUGGGGGGGUAACGGCCCACCAAGGCGACGACGGGUAGCCGGCCUGAGAGGGCGACCGGCCACACUGGGACUGAGACACGGCCCAGACUCCUACGGGAGGCAGCAGUGGGGAAUAUUGCGCAAUGGGGGAAACCCUGACGCAGCGACGCCGCGUGCGGGAUGAAGGCCUUCGGGUUGUAAACCGCUUUCACCAGGGACGAAGCGAGAGUGACGGUACCUGGGGAAGAAGCGCCGGCUAACUACGUGCCAGCAGCCGCGGUAAUACGUAGGGCGCAAGCGUUGUCCGGAAUUAUUGGGCGUAAAGAGCUCGUAGGCGGCCUGUCGCGUCUGCUGUGAAAUCCCGGGGCUUAACCCCGGGCGUGCAGUGGAUACGGGCUGGCUGGAGGCAGGCAGGGGAGAACGGAAUUCCCGGUGUAGCGGUGAAAUGCGCAGAUAUCGGGAGGAACACCGGUGGCGAAGGCGGUUCUCUGGGCCUGUACUGACGCUGAGGAGCGAAAGCGUGGGGAGCGAACAGGAUUAGAUACCCUGGUAGUCCACGCCGUAAACGUUGGGCGCUAGGUGUGGGUCCCUUCCACGGGGUCUGUGCCGCAGCUAACGCAUUAAGCGCCCCGCCUGGGGAGUACGGCCGCAAGGCUAAAACUCAAAGGAAUUGACGGGGGCCCGCACAAGCGGCGGAGCAUGUUGCUUAAUUCGACGCAGCGCGAAGAACCUUACCAAGGUUUGACAUGGCCGGAAAACUCAUGGAGACAUGGGGUCCUUCGGGGCCGGUCACAGGUGGUGCAUGGCUGUCGUCAGCUCGUGUCGUGAGAUGUUGGGUUAAGUCCCGCAACGAGCGCAACCCUCGUCCAAUGUUGCCAGCGGGUCAUGCCGGGGACUCAUUGGAGACUGCCGGGGUCAACUCGGAGGAAGGUGGGGAUGACGUCAAGUCAUCAUGCCCCUUAUGUCUUGGGCUGCAAACAUGCUACAAUGGCCGGUACAGAGGGCUGCGAGCCUGUGAGGGUGAGCGAAUCCCGGAAAGCCGGUCUCAGUUCGGAUCGGGGUCUGCAACUCGGCCCCGUGAAGCCGGAGUCGCUAGUAAUCGCGGAUCAGCAACGCCGCGGUGAAUACGUUCCCGGGCCUUGUACACACCGCCCGUCACGUCACGAAAGUUGGCAACACCCGAAGCCGGCGGCCUAACCCGUAAGGGAGGGAGCUGUCGAAGGUGGGGUCGGCGAUUGGGACG
rnacentral:rRNA from 1 species